GAUGAACGCUGGCGGCGUGCCUAAUACAUGCAAGUCGAGCGAACGGACGAGAAGCUUGUUUCUCUGAUGUUAGCGGCGGAAGGGUGAGUAACACGUGGAUAACCUACCUAUAAGACUGGGAUAACUUCGGGAAACCGGAGCUAAUACCGGAUGAUAUUUUGAACCGCAUGGUUCAAAAGUGAAAGACGGUCUUGCUGUCACUUAUAGAUGGAUCCGCGCUGCAUUAGCUAGUUGGUAAGGUAACGGCUUACCAAGGCAACGAUGCAUAGCCGACCUGAGAGGGUGAUCGGCCACACUGGAACUGAGACACGGUCCAGACUCCUACGGGAGGCAGCAGUAGGGAAUCUUCCGCAAUGGGCGAAAGCCUGACGGAGCAACGCCGCGUGAGUGAUGAAGGUCUUCGGAUCGUAAAACUCUGUUAUUAGGGAAGAACAUAUGUGUAAGUAACUGUGCACAUCUUGACGGUACCUAAUCAGAUAGCCACGGCUAACUACGUG
rnacentral:rRNA from 1 species